rnacentral:rRNA from 1 species
UCGUAACAAGGUWUCCGUAGGUGAACCUGCGGAAGGAUCAUUUG